UUAAGCGACUAAGCGUACACGGUGGAUGCCCUGGCAGUCAGAGGCGAUGAAGGACGUGCUAAUCUGCGAAAAGCGUCGGUAAGGUGAUAUGAACCGUUACAGCCGGCGAUGUCCGAAUGGGGAAACCCAGUGCAAUUCGUUGCACUAUCGUUAACUGAAUACAUAGGUUAACGAGGCGAACCGGGGGAACUGAAACAUCUAAGUACCCCGAGGAAAAGAAAUCAACCGAGAUUCCCCCAGUAGCGGCGAGCGAACGGGGAGCAGCCCAGAGUCUGAAUCAGCUUGUGUGUUAGUGGAACGGUCUGGAAAGUCCGACGGUACAGGGUGAUAGUCCCGUACACCAAAAUGCACAGGUUGUGAACUCGAAGAGUAGGGCGGGACACGUGGUAUCCUGUCUGAAUAUGGGGGGACCAUCCUCCAAGGCUAAAUACUCCUGACUGACCGAUAGUGAACCAGUACCGUGAGGGAAAGGCGAAAAGAACCCCGGCGAGGGGAGUGAAAAAGAACCUGAAACCGUGUACGUACAAGCAGUGGGAGCACCUUUAUGGUGUGACUGCGUACCUUUUGUAUAAUGGGUCAGCGACUUAUAUUCUGUAGCAAGGUUAACCGUAUAGGGGAGCCGCAGGGAAACCGAGUCUUAACUGGGCGUUAAGUUGCAGGGUAUAGACCCGAAACCCGGUGAUCUAGCCAUGGGCAGGUUGAAGGUUGGGUAACACUAACUGGAGGACCGAACCGACUAAUGUUGAAAAAUUAGCGGAUGACUUGUGGCUGGGGGUGAAAGGCCAAUCAAACCGGGAGAUAGCUGGUUCUCCCCGAAAGCUAUUUAGGUAGCGCCUCGUGAACUCAUCUUCGGGGGUAGAGCACUGUUUCGGCUAGGGGGUCAUCCCGACUUACCAACCCGAUGCAAACUACGAAUACCGAAGAAUGUUAUCACGGGAGACACACGGCGGGUGCUAACGUCCGUCGUGAAGAGGGAAACAACCCAGACCGCCAGCUAAGGUCCCAAAGUCAUGGUUAAGUGGGAAACGAUGUGGGAAGGCCCAGACAGCCAGGAUGUUGGCUUAGAAGCAGCCAUCAUUUAAAGAAAGCGUAAUAGCUCACUGGUCGAGUCGGCCUGCGCGGAAGAUGUAACGGGGCUAAACCAUGCACCGAAGCUGCGGCAGCGACGCUUAUGCGUUGUUGGGUAGGGGAGCGUUCUGUAAGCCUGUGAAGGUGUACUGUGAGGUAUGCUGGAGGUAUCAGAAGUGCGAAUGCUGACAUAAGUAACGAUAAAGCGGGUGAAAAGCCCGCUCGCCGGAAGACCAAGGGUUCCUGUCCAACGUUAAUCGGGGCAGGGUGAGUCGACCCCUAAGGCGAGGCCGAAAGGCGUAGUCGAUGGGAAACAGGUUAAUAUUCCUGUACUUGGUGUUACUGCGAAGGGGGGACGGAGAAGGCUAUGUUAGCCGGGCGACGGUUGUCCCGGUUUAAGCAUGUAGGCGGAGGUUCCAGGUAAAUCCGGUACCUUUUAACGCUGAGGUGUGAUGACGAGGCACUACGGUGCUGAAGUAACAAAUGCCCUGCUUCCAGGAAAAGCCUCUAAGCAUCAGGUAACAUUAAAUCGUACCCCAAACCGACACAGGUGGUCAGGUAGAGAAUACCAAGGCGCUUGAGAGAACUCGGGUGAAGGAACUAGGCAAAAUGGUGCCGUAACUUCGGGAGAAGGCACGCUGAUAUGUAGGUGAAGCCCCUGCGGGUGGAGCUGAAAUCAGUCGAAGAUACCAGCUGGCUGCAACUGUUUAUUAAAAACACAGCACUGUGCAAACACGAAAGUGGACGUAUACGGUGUGACGCCUGCCCGGUGCCGGAAGGUUAAUUGAUGGGGUUAUCCGUAAGGAGAAGCUCUUGAUCGAAGCCCCGGUAAACGGCGGCCGUAACUAUAACGGUCCUAAGGUAGCGAAAUUCCUUGUCGGGUAAGUUCCGACCUGCACGAAUGGCGUAAUGAUGGCCAGGCUGUCUCCACCCGAGACUCAGUGAAAUUGAACUCGCUGUGAAGAUGCAGUGUACCCGCGGCAAGACGGAAAGACCCCGUGAACCUUUACUAUAGCUUGACACUGAACAUUGAGCCUUGAUGUGUAGGAUAGGUGGGAGGCUUUGAAGCGUGGACGCCAGUCUGCGUGGAGCCAACCUUGAAAUACCACCCUUUAAUGUUUGAUGUUCUAACGUUGGCCCCUAAUCGGGGUUGCGGACAGUGUCUGGUGGGUAGUUUGACUGGGGCGGUCUCCUCCCAAAGAGUAACGGAGGAGCACGAAGGUUAGCUAAUCCUGGUCGGACAUCAGGAGGUUAGUGCAAUGGCAUAAGCUAGCUUGACUGCGAGCGUGACGGCGCGAGCAGGUGCGAAAGCAGGUCAUAGUGAUCCGGUGGUUCUGAAUGGAAGGGCCAUCGCUCAACGGAUAAAAGGUACUCCGGGGAUAACAGGCUGAUACCGCCCAAGAGUUCAUAUCGACGGCGGUGUUUGGCACCUCGAUGUCGGCUCAUCACAUCCUGGGGCUGAAGUAGGUCCCAAGGGUAUGGCUGUUCGCCAUUUAAAGUGGUACGCGAGCUGGGUUUAGAACGUCGUGAGACAGUUCGGUCCCUAUCUGCCGUGGGCGCUGGAGAACUGAGGGGGGCUGCUCCUAGUACGAGAGGACCGGAGUGGACGCAUCACUGGUGUUCGGGUUGUCAUGCCAAUGGCACUGCCCGGUAGCUAAAUGCGGAAGAGAUAAGUGCUGAAAGCAUCUAAGCACGAAACUUGCCCCGAGAUGAGUUCUCCCUGAGACUUUAAGUCUCCUGAAGGAACGUUAAAGACGAUGACGUUGAUAGGUCGGGUGUGUAAGCGUAGCGAUACGUUGAGCUAACCGAUACUAAUGAACCGUGAGGCUUAACCUU
rnacentral:rRNA from 1 species